rnacentral:rRNA from 2 species
AACGCGAAGAACCUUACCUACUCUUGACAUCCAGAGAACUUAGCAGAGAUGCUUUGGUGCCUUCGGGAACUCUGAGACAGGUGCUGCAUGGCUGUCGUCAGCUCGUGUUGUGAAAUGUUGGGUUAAGUCCCGCAACGAGCGCAACCCUUAUCCUUUGUUGCCAGCGGUCCGGCCGGGAACUCAAAGGAGACUGCCAGUGAUAAACUGGAGGAAGGUGGGGAUGACGUCAAGUCAUCAUGGCCCUUACGAGUAGGGCUACACACGUGCUACAAUGGCAUAUACAAAGAGAAGCGACCUCGCGAGAGCAAGCGGACCUCAUAAAGUAUGUCGUAGUCCGGAUUGGAGUCUGCAACUCGACUCCAUGAAGUCGGAAUCGCUAGUAAUCGUAGAUCAGAAUGCUACGGUGAAUACGUUCCCGGGUCUUGUACACACCG